rnacentral:rRNA from 1 species
UACGUAGGGUGCAAGCGUUGUCCGGAAUUAUUGGGCGUAAAGAGCUCGUAGGCGGUUUGUCGCGUCUGCUGUGAAAACUCGGGGCUUAACUCCGGGCCUGCAGUGGGUACGGGCAUACUAGAGUGCGGUAGGGGAGACUGGAAUUCCUGGUGUAGCGGUGAAAUGCGCAGAUAUCAGGAGGAACACCGGUGGCGAAGGCGGGUCUCUGGGCAGUAACUGACGCUGAGGAGCGAAAGCGUGGGGAGCGAACAGG